UACAGAGGUCCCAAGCGUUGUUCGGAUUCACUGGGCGUAAAGGGUGCGUAGGCGGUCGGGUAAGUCUGAUGUGAAAUCUCACAGCUUAACUGUGAAACUGCAUUGGAUACUAUUCGGCUAGAGAGUUGGAGGGGGACUGGAAUUCUUGGUGUAGCAGUGAAAUGCGUAGAUAUCAAGAGGAACACCAGUGGCGAAGGCGAGUCCCUGGACAACUUCUGACGCUGAGGCACGAAAGCUAGGGGAGCAAACAGG
rnacentral:rRNA from 1 species